rnacentral:tRNA from 7 species
GCCCAGAUGGCGGAAUUGGUAGACGCACCGUCUUCAGGUGGCGGCGCUGGCAACGGCGUGGAGGUUCGAGUCCUCUUCUGGGCACCA